rnacentral:rRNA from 1 species
AUAACAGUUAGAAAUGACUGCUAAUACCGCAUAAGACCACAGCACCGCAUGGUGCAGGGGUAAAAACUCCGGUGGUACAGGAUGGACCCGCGUCUGAUUAGCUGGUUGGUGAGGUAACGGCUCACCAAGGCGACGAUCAGUAGCCGGCUUGAGAGAGUGAACGGCCACAUUGGGACUGAGACACGGCCCAAACUCCUACGGGAGGCAGCAGUGGGGAAUAUUGCACAAUGGGGGGAACCCUGAUGCAGCGACGCCGCGUGAGUGAAGAAGUAUCUCGGUAUGUAAAGCUCUAUCAGCAGGGAAGAAAAUGACGGUACCUGACUAAGAAGCCCCGGCUAACUACGUGCCAGCAGCCGCGGUAAUACGUAGGGGGCAAGCGUUAUCCGGAAUUACUGGGUGUAAAGGGUGCGUAGGUGGUAUGGCAAGUCAGAAGUGAAAACCCAGGGCUUAACUCUGGGACUGCUUUUGAAACUGUCAGACUGGAGUGCAGGAGAGGUAAGCGGAAUUCCUAGUGUAGCGGUGAAAUGCGUAGAUAUUAGGAGGAACAUCAGUGGCGAAGGCGGCUUACUGGACUGAAACUGACACUGAGGCACGAAAGCGUGGGGAGCAAACAGGAUUAGAUACCCUGGUAGUCCACGCCGUAAAC